AAGAAUACAGCAACAAUGAUCACCGUCAUCUUUAAUGUUCGUAUUUUCGCUCGUGUAAGAAAAGCCAUAGAAGAACGACGAAUUUUAUCUGAAAUUCGUUAACCAUUUACUAUUUCAUGAAAAAUAAUAAAAUGUUCGCGUAGGUGUAUAUUAUUACGACAAGGGGAAACCAAUACAUCAUGAUCAUUCCAAAGAGAGAAUAAGUUAUUUCGUGAGUAUAUGUUGGAAAUGCAUUAAACGUGACACACUGUGAAUACCAUGUGAUAUUUGGAUGAGUUUCCAGGUGAAAUACUAGCAUCUAAGGAAGAAAAAGAUUACGAUCCUUUCAAAUUAAUUCGUCUCUGAUAUUUUAAUGAACGUAGAAAUGAUUGUCUUCUUCUUCUUAAAUACAUAAUGCCAUGAAGUAUGUUUUAAUGUCCCAACAUUUUCUACCAAAAUUUCGAAUCUUUUAAAUCUUUUUAAUUGUGGAUUUUUAAAUUAAUUAUUCACUUUAAUAUAAUAUUUAGUUUUUAGUUAAUCAGAAAGAUUUUAUUGAUAAAACACCGUUCAAAAUUUAUCCAUUGUUCCAACAAUUUUUUCUAUAUCUUCUUUUAUAAAUAAUUCUCAUUUUCUCGGUUAAACUCGGUUUCACUAUCUUAAAUUUUCAACACACGUGGAUCAAAGUAAUACAUGCUUAAACAACGUAUGAAUAAGAAAAUUUAAACAGAAUAUGACACUCCUUCGAAAACUGGUACGUAGUUCAUAUUAUAUAGUUUAUAACAAUGUUUGCGAGAUAAAAGUUAUCUAUUUGUAAAGAAUGGCAAAAAUAAGACGAAAAUUAACUUGUAAAGUUAAAUCACAAUUUAACUAAGAAUUUAAAGCUUAAAUGAAUUUAAUAAAGAGAUGAUAACUGAAAUAUCAAAGACAGGAACAUCCAAGCAAAAACUGCAAAUUCCAUGGUGCAACUAACAUUUAUAAACCUACAGACGAUUGGUCCGCUAAUCUAGGGUCAAGUGUUAAAUCAAAACCGAUAAGAAUACGCUGUUAUUAUGUUACUGUCGAAUGCUGAUGACAAUAACGAAGAUUCCAUUUUAGAAAAAUGGAUUAUGUGAAGAAGAUUAAAAGAUAAAACAAGAGCAAAGUUCAAUGGAGGGAAAAAUUGUCAAAAAACUUUAAUGUACAUAAAUGUACAAGUUUUUAAAAUUGAAAUUAUUUAAUGAAAUCGUUAAUAAAAAUUACAAAAAAUGAAUUUGAAAUAUAAUUAUUAAAAAUAAUGAA